UAUAUAUAUAUAUAUAUAUAUAUGAAAGAGUAAAAGAUGUGCACUAUGCGCUGAUUUUUUUUAUACAUAUCUCAUCAUCAUGGUUUAGUUUCCGAAAUCUCUAGCUAUGUAAAGCUAUAGAAUUCCUGUAAGGCUGCGUUAUCUUUGAUUGUAAAUUUAUCUUGGAAAAAGCAAAAGAUAAACAAAAUUUCACAUUUUAAAUCCUUCUUUCCUUUUUCCACAUUUCCUACUUGACCCUUACUCAUUCCUCAUUUACACUACAAAGGAGGGAUAAUUCCUCAUUUACACUACAAAGAAGGGAUAAUAUUAUCCUCCUUUGUAGUGUAAAUGAAGAAUGAGGUAUGAGUAAGAGUCAAGUAGGAAAUAUGGGAAAAGAAAUGAUCAUUUGCAGUGUAAAUGAAGAAUGAGUAAGGGUCAAGUAGGAAAUCUGGGAAAAGAAAUCAAGAAUUUAAAGAGUGAAAUUUUGUUUAUCCUUCCUUUUUCCUAUGAUAAAUUUAUAACCAAAGAGAACGCACCCUAAAUUGCGUAUGAUACCUAGAAGAUAAAUAGAAUAUACAAUUUUCUUUUGGAAUGAAAAGUUAGAGAAAGGGUACAAAUUCGCAAACUUAGCCCGGUGCCAAUGAAAAUAUUUUAAAUUUAAUUAGUAGCUAUAAUAUUAAUGUUUUCUCCGAUCCCAUUGAAAAAUUGUAGAUCAAUUAUAAUAAAUUAAUAACAAUCAAAGUCCCGCCGUGUUUAACAUCUUGUAAGGUCGAAUACACAACGAACCAAAAGUAUUACAAGCAAGGACUACUAAUUUGCCAAGAUUUUUCAUGGAAAUCAACAGCUUGUAUGGUAGCAAUGCAAGAAAGAUAUUUAUGUAAAUCUUCAACGGUCAAGAUUGCUAGAUUUCAGCGUAAUCCGACGGCUGAGAUUGUACAAAAGGACCAACUGAAGUGUGCUCAUUUGCUCUCUCAACGGCGAGUAGAAAGAUACGAGCAAAGGACGGAAGUGAGUCCACCCCGUGUGCUACGAGAGUAAGCUAAAGCCAUCAGGUGGGCAUUAUUUUUACUAUAUGUAUAUAGAGAUCCCCUGCGUAUCGUAGGCCUCUUAUACGAAAUAAAGUAAAUGACAUGAGUUAAUUGUUCAAUUUCAGUUUGAUGAAAAUUAUUACUGAUGAUGAUGUUUAUGAGUUUGAUAAAUAAUUUGAGAUUUAUUGAUGUUGAACUAAUUGACUUGCCGAGUUUUGAUGACGAUGAGCCUGUAUGUCACCCCUACUGAUGAGACGAAUUCGGGUCCUGCCACAAGCGGGAUUGUGUACACAGAGGUGACCGUGAACCGUCUUUCGGGUCGGCCGGUCAGAGGUGAUUGUGAGAUAUUCUUCGGGUCGGCCGGUCAUGGUACUUGAGAAGGAGGCCUACUUCUCAGUACCUUUAAUAAUGAUGAUUUGUAGAUGUGGUACAUACAUAACGAAAAUUUUGACCGGUCAUUUAUUUAUGAUGUUUAUGAUUGUAAACUGCUUACACGGGUUCUUUUGAGUAAAAUCCUCGUGUAUUGCUUAUGUGGCAAGUUCAAUCUAUAGCUCUAAGAGCUAGUUUUCAUUGAUUUUCGGCAUAUGACCACUGAGUAUUCUGUACUCAGCCUUGCAUGUAUUUCUAAACGUGCAGGAUAAGCGAGGAGGGAGAUUGGACUGGUGCUGGCAGGGAUUUUGUUUAGAUGAUCUUCCUUAUACCGUAAUUAUAUUCCUUGCGGUAACAUCAAGAUGUUGAAGUUUAUUUUGGACUUAAUCAAGAAAUUUACUCUUAGCUAUAUGUCUUCAUACAUAUAGUCUGUUCGCAUUUUGCUGCGACACUCUGUAUAUGCUGAGUCUUUGUGAGUAAUUAGCUAUGUUUGCUUUGUAAAGGUUGACAAGAAUCUCGAUGAUUUAAAAGUUAUAAAGCUAAUAAUUUCUACACUGA